GACGAACGCUGGCGGCGUGCCUAAUACAUGCAAGUCGAACGAGAGCGACCGGUGCUUGCACUGGUCAAUCUAGUGGCGAACGGGUGAGUAACACGUGGGUAACCCGCCCAUCAGAGGGGGAUAACAUCCGGAAACGGAUGCUAAAACCGCAUAGGUCUUCGAGCCGCAUGGCUUGAAGAGGAAAAGAGGCGCAAGCUUCUGCUGAUGGAUGGACCCGCGGUGCAUUAGCUAGUUGGUGAGGUAACGGCUCACCAAGGCCGUGAUGCAUAGCCGACCUGAGAGGGUGAUCGGCCACAUUGGGACUGAGACACGGCCCAAACUCCUACGGGAGGCAGCAGUAGGGAAUCUUCCGCAAUGGACGCAAGUCUGACGGAGCAACGCCGCGUGAGUGAAGAAGGUUUUCGGAUCGUAAAACUCUGUUGUUAGAGAAGAACAAGUGCUAGAGUAACUGUUAGCGCCUUGACGGUAUCUAACCAGAAAGCCACGGCUAACUACGUG
rnacentral:rRNA from 1 species